CAUGAUUGCAGACGCAGUGAAGAAGGUGAU
rnacentral:piRNA from 1 species